CAUUCAACGUAAGGGGAAAAUCUAUGAUCAAAAUCUAGAUCAUGUAGAUAAUAAAACUUUAGCAAUGUACCAAUCAAAAUUAGCAGCAAACUUUUAGCAAUGUACCAUUAUCAGAAUCAAAUACGGUGUUCCGUCAACCCUCAAUCCUAGGCACAACUCUAACCAUAUAUAUUCGCGGGAAAUACCAUAAACCCUUAACUCAGCAUAUCAAGAUCAGACUCAAUGGUGCACGAAGACAUGAUUCCAAAUUGUACAAAGCAAGCUGCAAAAAAGGAAUGUGGAUCAAGCUCAGAUAUACACAAUUUUUCACUUUAAGAAAUUCAUACCUUGCGGGGAAAAGUGGCAGGGAAAAGCAUGGUUCAAGGAAGAAGAGCAGCAAUAAAUAUUCUAGGAGAGGUUCGAAACCAAAAGAGCAGUAAACAUUCUUCUAUCAGAAUUUUAAGACGUGGGCAAAGCGAAGAAUUUGUGGAUGGAACUUGGAAGCCAUUCAUACCAUUCCAAUGGACCAUCAGAGAUCUGUCAGCAUGGAUCAUAUUGUCAAUGUCAAAAUCAUAAAAAUAACACACAAAAAUUUCCUAAAAAAUCAAACUGUCUAGCAAUUUAUGUUACAAAAUACAGAAUUGAGAUCUUUUUGUUGUUUACAUUUGAAGAGCAAGACAAAUACCUUCUUUUAAAGAGGCAUUCAGAUCAGCUACUUCAUCAACACUUGGGGCCAUGAAGCUUGAUGGACCAUUUUUCUUUCUCAAAUAAUAGAGAAAACUAAUUAACAAAGAGUUCAUUUGAGGGAGCGUAUAUUUUCAUUCCAUUGGGAGGGGCAAAUAAUAGAAUUUGAUGGAUGAUAUAGGACAUGGGGAUUGCAAAAUUGCAAUGUCAUCUCUCUUUUGCUGAUCUUCAAGUCUUAUUUAUUUAAGAUGUGUCACUAUACUCUUACAGGCCAAUUAUCAGCAUUAUUUACUCAGUUAUAUAACAUUCCAAACUCUUUUCUAUAGGAAAUGUUGUUUUUAACCCUCCACAGAUUAACCAAAUAAUUAAUUAAUCACCAUUACCAUCUAGUUUGGUUAUUUUUUCUAUUAUGUUUUGUAAUUUAACAUUUGUAGCCAAAGGAAUCAAAACUAUGAAGAAGAUAUAUUAAAGAAAACAAAGCUUCAGACCCUCCCCCUAAUAUUGUGCAUAUCCAUAGCAAAACAAUGAAUCCCAAUCUCUGAUAAAGGAACCAAAUUUGAUUUAGAACACACAGACAUCCACAAACACAAAUGAUACCUUCAGAGAAACUGUGAGGAGCCGACAGAAUUUCAUCACAGCUAUACCUUAUCAUCAUAUGUGUUCCAUUGAUAUGCUUUACUCUAAUGAUUAAUCAAUAUAGUAGUAGAUUAAUGUUGCAAAAAGAGAAAGGGAUAAGGGCAAAGCAGUGUCAAUUUUUUAUGUUUCAUGUGAGAGUUGAAAGGAAUAAGAGUUGAGUUGAGAGAAUCAAAGGGGAAAGGGGAAGGUUUACCUAGGCAUCUGUGAUGUUGGUGAGAAAAUGGCUCGCCAAGGCUGAGGAAACAUAAAUGAAUGGGGUUAAUUGGGAAAAAAGAAUUGAACUUGAAGGGGAGAAAGUUUACCUUUGUCUGCAUUGAAAUAUAGGUCCUUAGUAUUCAUGGAGCAAUUGGUGAGGGUAAAGAGCAUGUAACUGAUGAUGCAGCGGAGAUGGAACUUCACCUACAAAAACAUAAACCUCAUCUUUGUUAAUACAAGGUAAAUACAAAAAAUAAAAAAGUUAAAUAAU
rnacentral:lncRNA from 1 species